rnacentral:sRNA from 1 species
CAGGCCCUCACAAGAAAGCUGCUCCUUUCGCCAUUUUGGUAAUGGGAUAUGGGCUAUCAUGCCCUUGGAGUCCUCAGGCAUGAACACAAACGAGCAAGGUGUGGUGUUGGAUGGAGCUGGUCGCCUGUCGGUGACAGCAGUAUUCCUAGGGAUGUUGUACUGGACCGUUUGGUUCUAGCAUCAGGUGUGGCUGGACCAGGCCACCAUAUUGGUAAAGAGAAAAGCCAUUUGAGACAGAAAAUGACGCUUUUGGAGGCGUGUUGUAUGACUGUGGUUCCUAAUUCUCUCCCGCUCCUGACAGUUAAUUUUAUCAGUUAAUUGUAUCCUGAGCAUCCCUGCCUUGCGUGGUGGUGGCACUGGAGAGUUCCGCCUGCCCGUUACCACCCUCUCUUCACCACUGUCCCUGAGAUCUGCUCUUCAAGAGGAAGCCUAAAGUGGAGAGUUUGUAAUCCUGACAACGCCCAGCUACCUGCAUACCCCGGACUCCAACUCCCAGUUUGCAAUGCCAAAGGGUCUAAAGGGCGAACGGGGGCGCAUUGCAUCCUGGGAGCAACAAUCGCGAUAGGUCUGAUGGAUUGUGGGAGCUGUAGUUCCAUGGCCCAGCUGUGCUGCUGUGUCAACCUGAAGGCAUUAUGGAACAGUUCUUUCUACCACACUCCCGAGGAAGCUCCCAUGGACAAAGCCGGAUAAUCCGAAAGGCAUACCUGGAAGACUUUUACACCCGGAUGAUGCAUGAGUGCUAUCAGAUAUGGGCCCAGCUGGAGCAUGAGGCUGGAACCCAACUGUACAG